GAUGAAGAACGUAGCGAAAUGCGAUACUUGGUGUGAAUUGCAGAAUCCCGUGAACCAUCGAGUCUUUGAACGCAAGUUGCGCCUCAAGCCAUUAGGUUGAGGGCACGUCUGCCUGGGCGUCACAUAUCGUUGCCUGAUGCCAGUUUCCUCGUGAUGGGUGACUGUGCAGGGCGAAUGAUGGCUUCCCGUGAGCAUUGUUGCCUCAUGGUUGGUUGAAAAUUGAGUCCUUGGUAGGGAGCGCCGUGAUAGAUGGUGGUUGAGUGACGAACGAGACCCAAUCAUGUGAGACCCCUACCGAAUUUGGCCUUCAUGACCCACAUGCGUCUUUGGAACGCACAUGACGAGACCUCAGGUCAGGCGGGGCUACCCGCUGAGUUUAAGCAUAUCAAUAAGCGGAGGA
rnacentral:misc_RNA from 1 species